rnacentral:misc_RNA from 1 species
CUCCCUCAUGCCGGCUGGAGAACACCCAGGCAUACGGCUUGAGGCAGGUGACGCAGGUCACCAGCGAAUCGACCACAGGCGUAUUGAUCCGGUACCGCUGAUUGGAGGUGGUGUUGGUUGUCGUCCGCGGCUCGACCCGCCCGAACAGGCCGACGUGCUUGCCGGCUCCCCAAGUCGGCCGGUAAGCGGCCGAGUGCUUGUCGAGCGUGCUUUCCGCAAACAGGAACGAAUUGCUGGUCCCGUCCGUGAUCUUUUGAAUGGAAGAGGAUUGUUGCACGCCAAACGCCCCUUGCCACUCGACACGGUGCCGCGGCCCACUGGUCACGG